GACGAACCGUGCGAACGUUAUUCGGAUUCACUGGGCUUAAAGCGCGUGUAGGCGGGCCGAUACGUCCGUGGCUGAAAGCCCCCGGCUCAACCGGGGAAGUGGCCCGGAUACGGUCGGCCUGGAGGGGCAUAGGGGGAGCUGGAACUUCCGGUGGAGCGGUGAAAUGCGUUGAGAUCGGAAGGAACGCCCGUGGCGAAAGCGAGCUCCUGGAUGCCUUCUGACGCUGAGACGCGAAAGCCAGGGGAGCGAACGGGAUUAGAUACCCCGGUAGUCCUGGCCGUAAACGAUGAGCACUGGGUAGGGUACUCGCCGAUGGGCGCCCUGCCGCAGCGAAAGCGUGAAGUGCUCCGCCUGGGGAGUAUGGCCGCAAGGCUGAA
rnacentral:rRNA from 1 species